GGGGGCAGGGGGUUUCCACUGAAGAGGAAGACUGUGGGGGAGAGGAGUGGGUGAGACGAGACUAAGAGGCGCGCAGGACGGAAACGUCUCUGCAUUUGCUACACACACCAAAUCCAAAUUCAGAUUGAUAUCCAUAUUGGUGUCGACAAAGCCAGCCAGCAGUGCAGCGGACGGGAGAAGGCAGGUGACCUGAGAGUGCGGACUGAGGGAACUUAGAAAGCGUCAGAAACAGAACUGAAAGAGGGAGAGAGAGAGAGAGAGAGAGAGAGAGAGCCACAGAAGGGGAAGAUAGAGACUGGUGUCAAAGGAAAGAUGACCACAGCACCGUCAUGCAGUGAAGAUGAAUUUCGUCAUGAGAACAGGUGCUGUAAACGUUGCCCAAAAGGGGAAUAUGUCCGUUCACCAUGUUCACAAGGCUCCAAACAGACAGUCUGCCAGCCCUGCUCACGCGGUUACUUUCUAAAAGACGCAAACUUCCUUUCGAAGUGUCAACUUUGUCGAUCUUGCCAUUCUAGCAGUCACAUGGUGCUCGUGGGGGAGUGCAUGCCAGACCAAGACAGACGGUGCAAAUGUGAGGAGGGCUACUACUGUGAGGAUGACCGGUGUGAGCACUGUCGCCCUCUGUCUGCGUGUCCCAUUGGCUCUGGGGUCUCCACUCCAUCUAAUGGACGAAUGGACACAGUCUGCGAACGGUGUCCAGAAGGAAAAUACAGCAAUGUGACUGACUCAAAGACACCCUGUCUCCCGCAUACUCAAUGUGAAGUUCUUGGAAUGCGGACGAGGACGCCGGGCACGGAGAGCUCAGACGCUGUGUGUGCGGCGAGGGAGCCCGCAAGGUGUGAUUGGGCCUUACCUGCAUGCCUGUGGGCGGGGCUAAUUCUGACAGUUCUCAUCCUUGGCUUCGGCUAUUUUUUCCGAAGGGCGAAACGCAGAUCAAAGAUGAAAGUGUCCAGGCUGGAACUGCCAGUGAAUGACGUUGUCUUGAACCUCCCAAACCUCAUCCCAGAAGUAUACAAUCAACUAUACGAUGAAGAAAGCCAUGCACUGAACUGUAAUGGACGGCACAUUGACUCUGAUUUCCCUUCAACAGUGCUGGCCACUUCCUGUCAAGUCGAAGUUCAUCACCCUAUGAAGAGUAUGGACCUUGAGUGUGACGGACCCGGAAAGAUGCCACCACUCACGUCAUCGGACCACUUCAACCAAUCAGCAGCCAGAACAGGCGGGAUGAAAAUUUUCACCCCCUCUCCCUGUCAAUCACAGCCACAGGAGGAUGAAUGGUCCGGAACAUGAUUCUUGGCACGAUGCAUUACAGUUUUCAUAAGAAAAAAAAAACAGAUGAUAGGCCAAAAUAAAUGUAUAUUUUAUGAGCACAUUAUAUAUUGAUUUUUAAUUUCAUAUUUAGUUUUUAGUAUUUACUUCCUGUAAAAAAUAAAUAAAAAUUAAAUGCAGACACAAAUAGGUACAUAGUCAGGUACGCAUUUUCCAAUUAAGUUCUGAGAGGAAGGCAGCCAUUUCACUCCGUUCUUGCGCUCUACCUGAAGUGAAAUUUCAACCACUGGGGAAAGACGACAGCACAAUGACACAGACAAAAAACUGCCAAAACAACCUUAAAGAUCUGCAAGAAUGUCGUUGGUGUCUCGUCCAUCAAAUUCUGUCUCCACCUGCAGGUGAUCACCGAAAACACCACCCUACUGCUAAGGCCGUGUGCUACACUGACACAUGGUGGUCAAAAAUAAAACAAAUUCGCAACGAACGUUGACAGCACCCAGUGCGCUCAGCGUGCAGCCUGGUCCCACAGUAGCAGUUUCGUCACACUUGCCUCCUCUGAUGAGCCAUUAUUAAACACGGUCCUUCUGUAGAAAAUGGACCUCGGGUAGAUAAUUGAAUCGUUGCUUUGCUCUGUGCUAACUGCAUGGCAAUUCACGAAACGUGGAAAAACAUGGACGACAUGUGCGCAAAGUGUCUGUGGUCUCCGGCAGCUCGCAGCGCUGACAAGGUCGAGAUUUAGCCCGGGUUGCGCCACUUUCAGGUUACAUGUACCUCCAUCCAGCACUCAUAUUGUACUUUGUAUCAUUGUCUUCAUGUUGUAGCAUGUCAUGUCUCCUAGUUUGACUCGGCAUAGAGGUCAAAGAGUAAUGUUUACUGUGUGAACUAGAUAGUGUGAACUAAUGUGUUCAUGGCUAUGAAUAACUGUGACAAAAUAUGUAUUGUACCUUAUCGGACCUGUGUUUUGUAGUUGUUGCAAUGACCUUCGGUAAGCAUUUAUUGUAAAUUGCUUUAUAUAAAAGAGUCUGCCAAAUCAAUGUAAUGUAAUGGAUUGUGAGUGGCAUCACUGAACUAGGGAUGAGUAUUUUGUCUCACCAGGACAUGGCCUCCCUUCACUGACUCCCAGUAUGUUUUAGGAUUGAUUUUAAAAUUGUAUUAUUUGCCUACAAAUCAUUAAAUGGGCUAGCUCCAA